rnacentral:rRNA from 1 species
AUCCCUUGACAUCCUGCGAACUUUCUAGAGAUAGAUUGUAGCCUUCGCGAACGCAGUGACAGGUGCUGCAUGGCUGUCGUCAGCUCGUGUCGUGAGAUGUUGGGUUAAGUCCCGCAACGAGCGCAACCCUUAUCAUUAGUUGCUAACAUUUAGUUGACAACUCUAAUGAGACUGCCGGUGAUAAACCGGAGGAAGGCGGGAACGACGUCAAGUCAUCAUGGCCCUUAUGGGAUGGGCUACACACGUGCUACAAUGGGGGGUACAAAGAGCAGCCAACUGGCAACAGUGCGCGAAUCUCAUAAAACCUCUCGUAGUCCGGAUCGGAGUCUGCAACUCGACUCCGUGAAGUCGGAAUCGCUAGUAAUCGUGAAUCAGAAUGUCACGGUGAAUACGUUCCCGGGCCU